CCCUAGUAAUGGCGAAUGAACAGGGAUAAGCUCAGCUUGAUAAUUGGGGCCUCUGGCCUCGAGUUGUAGCCUCGGGAAGCAUCACUAAUAGAGGCGCAGAUGUAAGCCUCUUGGAAGAGAGCAUCCAUGUGGGUGAGAAUCCUUUGUGUCAUCUGCAGCCCUUUAUGUACGGUGUGCCUUCUCAGAGUCACGCUCCUCGGAACUGGAGCGCUAAGUGGGUGGUAAGUUUCAUCUAAAGCUAAACAUAGGCUUGAGACCGAUAGCAAACAAGUACCAUGAGGGAAAGAUGAAAAGGACUUUGGAAAGAGAGUUAAAAGUGCCUGCAAUUGCUGAAAGGGAAGCGAAUGGAACCAGCCAUCUGGGCAAGAUUGUUAGUCAGCAGUGCAACGUCUGAUUAGGGCAACGCAAGUGCUUUGGUCAGUUUGGAGCGCUCGCUGGUUGGUGCUUCUUGCCUUGAGAGCCAGCAUCUGUCUUCGACUGUGGACAACUCUUGGGGAAUGGAACCUGACCUGUGGGUUUGGGAAUGCUUCAAGCAGGACCCAGUUGUGGACAGUUUACGCGUGUUUGGGUUGCACCCCUACAAACACUCCCUUAUGGUCUUGUUUGUGUGGGGCCCCCGACGCUGUUAUGAUGGCACAAUGGUUCUUUUCGACCCGUCUUGAAACACGGACCAAGGAGUCUAACAUAUGUGCAAGUUCAUGGGUUCUAAGCCUGUGUGCGAGAUGAAAGUGACUGCUAGGAUGUUUGCACCAGCAACCGACUGAUUAACUGGGAGAUGUUUGAGUAUGAGCACAUGUGUUAGGACCCGAAAGAUGGUGAACUAUGCCUGAGAAGGGCAAACUCAGGGGAAACUCUGAUGGAGGCUCGUAGCGAUACUGACGUGCAAAUCGUUCGUCAUACUUGGGUAUAGGGGCGAAAGACUAAUCGAACCAUCUAGUAGCUGGUUCCCUCCGAAGUUUCCCUCAGGAUAGCUGGAGUUACAUAGUUUUAUCAGGUAAAGCGAAUGAUUAGAGGAAUCGGGGACGCGUUGUCCUCGACCUAUUCUCAAACUUUAAAUGGGUAAGAUCCAGUGGUUACUUAGGUGAACUUCUGGGACAAAUAACAACUCUAAGUGGGCCAUUUUUGGUAAGCAGAACUGGCGAUGAGGGAUGAACCUAACGUUGGGCUAAGGUGCUUAACUGCACGCUCAUCAGAUACCAAAAAGGGUGUUGGUUCAUUUUAACAGCAGGACGGUGGUCAUGGAAGUCGAAAUCCGCUAAGGAGUGUGUAACAACUCACCUGCCGAAUGGACUAGCCCUGAAAAUGGAUGGCGCUCAAGCGGGUGACCGAUGCCCAACCAUUGUUGCAAGCUCGCUGCACCAAUGAGUAGGAGGGUGUGGAGGUU
rnacentral:rRNA from 1 species